CUGGGAUCCAGCCUCAACAGACUCAUUCAUUGCUAGGCGCGGACAACGUCCCGUAAACAAAGAACACUCAGACAUUGUGGAUUGAGCUAUAAUAAGUGGGAGAAAGAGCUAAUUCUAAUUCUGCCUGGAGGAAGGGCACUGCAAGUCAUGGAAUUUGUACUGUCUAGGGGACUGCAUAUUGGAGCUGGAAGAGGGUUUUUCCAGAGGAAGUAACUGGAGAUGAGGUGGGACGGGACAGGCUGGGACGAAGAAUUUGGGCUUCUUGAUGUUGGCAAUUGGGACCCCGCUGAGAAAUGCGAGCAGUUCUGUGUUGAAGUCAGAACACCUGCCACUAGCAAUUUGUACAACUUUGGGAAAGUUUCUCUAGGGGACCCCGCUUCCACAUCUAUAAAUCAGAGUACCCACUUCACAGUUUGCUGUGAGACCUGUGUGAUAGAGGAAUGACUGAUUCGUCACCUAUAGAGCAGGGUUGUGAGAUAAAGAUGUUUGUGUAGGAAAGCUUAAGCCGUUCUCCUCUGCUACGUGGUGUAAAGAUCCCAGGCAGAAGUCUGGGUUCCACUUGCGAGUUGUGUACAAUAAACUGAAGAAAAUCAGGUGCUGUGGGACAAGGGACCCGGGUGAGGGGAGUCCUUGGGCUGGAAUCCAGGUGCAGCUUAGGUGGGUGCCUCUGUUUCAAGAUCUCUUACGAGACUACAAUUAAAGUCUAAGCUGGGACUACAGCCUCAUUUCACGGCUUGACUGUGGAAGGAUCUGCUUCCAAGGUCACUCAUGUGGUUGUUGGCAGGAAUCAGUCCUCAGGUGCUGUUGGACUUGGUUCCGUGCUGGCUAUUGGCUGGAGGCUGUCCUCAGUUCCUUGCCGUGUGGACCUCUCUGUAGGGCAGCUCACAACAUGGCAGAUGGCUUCCAUCAGAGCAAGGAGGUGAGAAAAACAGAGAGAACGAGAAAGACAGAGAAAGAGAUGGAUGGAAGCCAAAAUGUUUUUGCAAUCUGACCUCAGAUGUGGCAUCCUGUCUCUUUUGUCAUAUUCUGUUCAUUAAAAAAAAGUCAUUAGGUUCAGCUCACACUCAAGGUGAGGGGAUUACACGACGGAAUGAAGACCAGGAGCCAUCUCAGUGGCUCCCUAGGACACAGCUCAAAUCUGCUCUUUCAUCCCGUGUCAGACCUGGACAGCUCUGACCCAUUCUCCAAGCCUCAGAGUAGAUGCUUUACCCUCCAGGAUUGAGUUAAUGGUCCUUCAAGCAUGCCUCUGUGACACCCUGGACUUCUCCAUCAUAGCCCCCACCACAGCAUGUCAUUACCUAGCCACUGGUCUGCCUCCUGCCCCUUCUGUAAGCUCUGUGAGGACAGCCACCUUGUCUCUUGUCUUCACUGAUGUGGACCCAGACCCAAGCAUAGGGCCAAAACAUACUGGGCACUCGGGGUAUGUUUACUAAAUUUAUUAAAC
rnacentral:lncRNA from 1 species